rnacentral:tRNA from 1 species
CAGCAGGUAGUUUAAUGAAAAUAUUAAUUUUGGAGAUUAAAGAUGUGAAAUUCACUUUGCUGA